rnacentral:lncRNA from 1 species
AGAGUCUUCCCGGGAUUGGCUGCGGGCCCCGCGACCCUCCUGCUUCCCUCCCCGCCCCGCGCCGCCUCUCUGGUUUGUGCGCCCGUCGCAGGUCGCAGGCCUCUUUGUCAGCUGGAGUUGCGUGGGCUGACGCGCCACUACUUUGUAGCGGGUUUCGGGCGGGCCACGCGUGCGGCGACAGGAACCCAACCCCAGCCGACCUUGAGCCCCAGGAGUUCGUCUCUUACGUCUGCGGAAGUGCAGCUGCCUCAGUUCUUAGCGCAGGUUGACAACUACAGGCACAAGCCUUUGAAGCUGGAAUGUCCUGUUGCUGGUAUUUCAAUUGACUUAAGCCAACUAUCCCUUCAGUUACAAUAGGAAAGUGCCUCUAAUAAGGCCAAAUAUGCGUACUAACUUGCAGCAACCACGUGUCCGUGCAGUGCCACAGGAGCUAGAGCAGUGACAAUGCUGGUGGCAACAGGGCAGUGUAGCAGGUGCUUCAUGUUCACCUUUUCAACCUUUUCAUUUAAUUGUCACAACUUGGAGGUGGAUUCUGUUAGGGACAGGCUGCCCCAGGACCACUCCGCCCCCGCUAACUCAAUGCAGCUGACCCUUACCCUGAAUACUCUGCAGCUGCAUUCCUGAACCGUUAUCUAGGCGCUAUAGCAGGGUCACCAGACUUGCUACACCGAAGCCCUCCAGGUGGCACGGGGGAGGUCAUGAGAAACGUGGAUUACACCCCCUUGUAAAUUCCUAUUUUCACAAGAUAAUAUAUUGUAAGCCGGUCAUGAGAUUAUAUGUGGUAAAGUUAAUUGACUAACAACCCCAGGGUCUCUCUCCCGCAUAUAAACCCCUCAUUUUGUAAGCUCAGGGCUGCCACCUCUGACUGGUGGAGCAGCCUGGCAGGUUAAUAAACUUACUUGGCCUGA